AGGACAAGCCUUUUAAUGUUGCUGUUUCUUGCUGUCCUUUUACUAGCGUUUAUUAACGGAGUUGAAGGACAUUGUAAAGACCGAGUAAAAGGUUGCUAUGAAAGGGUCAGUAGAGGCGAUUGUUACACAAACAGUCAUAUCAUGUGGAAAUAUUGCUGCAAAAGUUGUAAAAACAUGGCACAAAUCGGUAUAAAGCGAGGUUUUCAUGCUGCUAAGGAAAUAGAUAAAGGCGGAUAUCAAACAGCAUAUUAAUUUAACAUUAAAAAUCUAUAACUCUUACAUUUGCGAACUUAUUCAAAUAGCACACAUCAAAGGCAU